AUUGAACGCUGGCGGCAGGCCUAACACAUGCAAGUCGAACGAGUGGCGGACGGGUGAGUAAUGUCGGGAAAACUGCCUGAUGGAGGGGGAUAACUACUGGAAACGGUAGCUAAUACCGCAUACCAUCAGAUGUUCCCAGAAGGGAUUAGCUAGUAGGUGGGGUAACGGCUCACCAAGGCGACGAUCCAUAGCUGGUCUGAGAGGGUGACCAGCCACACUGGAACUGAGACACGGUCCAGACUCCUACGGGAGGCAGCAGUGGGGAAUAUUGCACAAUGGGCGCAAGCCUGAUACAGCAACGCCGCGUGUAUGAAGAAGGCCUUCGGGUCGUAAAGCACUUUCAGCGGGGAGGCGUUACCCACUGAAGAAGCACCGGCUAACUCCGUGCCAGCCGCCGCGGUAAUUC
rnacentral:rRNA from 1 species